AGGGCGCAGGGUGGAUGCCUUGGCACUAAGAGCCGAUGAAAGACGUGAUAAGCUGCGAAAAGCUUCGGGGAGGAGCAAAUAUCCCGUGAUCCGGAGAUGUCUGAAUGGGGAAACCCACAUGAGCAGACCUCAUGUAUCCAUACGCCAAUCCAUAACGUAUGGAAGGGAACCCGGGGAACUGAAACAUCUAAGUACCCGGAGGAAAAGAAAGAAACAUCGAUUCCGUAAGUAGCGGCGAGCGAACGCGGAGGAGCCUAAACCGGUGUGCGUGCAUGCCGGGGUCAUGGACUGCAUUUAAGAUUCAGUAAGGUUAACAGAACGGUUUUGGGAAAGCCGGCCAGAGAGGGUGAAAGCCCCGUACGUGAAAACCAAGCUGACUGAGCAGGAUCCGGAGUACCACGAGACACGAGGAACCUUGUGGGAAGUAAGGGGGACCACCCCCUAAGGCUAAAUACUACUUAGUGACCGAUAGCGCAUAGUACUGUGAAGGAAAGGUGAAAAGGACCCCGGGAGGGGAGUGAAAGAGAACCUGAAACCCUGUGUCUACAAGCUGUGGGAGCACCUUAUGCGUGCAACCGCGUACUUUUUGUAGAACGGUCCGGCGAGUUACGCUUACUGGCAAGGUUAAGCACUUCAGGUGUGGAGCCGUAGGGAAACCAAGUCUUAAGAGGGCCUUAAGUCAGUAGGAGUAGACCCGAAACCGGGUGAUCUAUCCAUGUCCAGGUUGAAGCUGCCGUAAGAGGUAGUGGAGGACCGAACCCACAUCCGUUGAAAAGGGUGGGGAUGAGGUGUGGAUAGGGGAGAAAUUCCAAUCGAACCCGGAGAUAGCUGGUUCUCCUCGAAAUAGCUUUAGGGCUAGCCUCGAUUUAGUCUUAUGGAGGUAGAGCACUGAAUUUCCGCGGGGGCGUCAAAGCUUACCAAAGAAUAUCAAACUCCGAAUGCCAUGUAGAUGAUGAACGGGAGUCAGACUGCACGAGAUAAGUUGGGCGGUCAAAAGGGAAAGAGCCCAGACCUUCAGUUAAGGUCCCCAAGUGCGCGUUAAGUGGAAAAGGAUGUGGGAUUUCGAAGACAACCAGGAUGUUGGCUCAGAAGCAGCCAUCCAUUCAAAGAGUGCGUAAUAGCUCACUGGUCGAGAGGUCCUGCGCCGAAAAUGUCCGGGGCUGAAACGCGCCACCGAAACUAAGGAACCGAAAGGUUGGUAGAGGAGCAUUGCAUGCGGGAAGAAGCAGUACCGUAAGGAGCUGUGGACUGCAUGGAAGAGAGAAUGCCGGAAUGAGUAGCGAGAUAGAGGUGGGAAUCCUCUAGGCCGAAUAUCCAAGGUUUCCAGAGUAAAGCUGAUCUGCUCUGGGUAAGUCGGGGCCUAAGGCGAGGACGAGAGUCGUAGCCGAUGGACAACAGGUGGAGAUUCCUGUACUGCGGUAUGACAGAACUGUGGGGACACGUAAGGAAAGCGGAAGCCGGGAAUGGAAAGCCCGGUGCAAGCGGGGUACCAGUCACUUUGGCAAAUCCGGGUGGCAAUGGGAAGCCGUGAUGCGGAGCGAAAUAAAGUAGCGAAGUCCGUGAGCCAUGCGUCAAGAAAAGCCGCUAUUGUUUAUACCGUACCCGUACCGUAAACCGACACAGGUGGAUGAGGAGAGAAUCCUAAGGCCGGCGGAAGAAGCAUUGUCAAGGAACUCGGCAAAAUGACCCCGUAACUUCGGGAGAAGGGGUGCCUGCGAGAGCAGGCCGCAGAGAAUAGGCUCAAGCAACUGUUUAGCAAAAACACAGGUCUAUGCGAAACCGAAAGGUGAGGUAUAUGGGCUGACGCCUGCCCGGUGCUGGAAGGUUAAGAGGAGAGGUUAGCGCAAGCGAAGCUUUGAAUUUAAGCCCCAGUAAACGGCGGCCGUAACUAUAACGGUCCUAAGGUAGCGAAAUUCCUUGUCGGGUAAGUUCCGACCCGCACGAAAGGCGUAAUGAUUUGAGCACUGUCUCGACAAUGCAUCCGGUGAAAUUGAAGUACCAGUGAAGAUGCUGGUUACCUGCGCCAGGACGGAAAGACCCCAUGGAGCUUUACUCCAGUUUGGUACUGGGGUCCGGCAGUGCAUGUACAGGAUAGGUGGGAGGCUGUGAACCUGGAACGCCAGUUUCAGGGGAGCCGGUGUUGGGAUACCACCCUUGUGCUGCUGGGCUUCUAACCAGCGGCCUUUAUCAGGCCGGGGGACAAUGCCAGACGGGGAGUUUGACUGGGGCGGUCGCCUCCGAAAGGGUAUCGGAGGCGCCCAAAGGUUCCCUCAGAAUGGACGGAAACCAUUCGAAGAGUGCAAAGGCAGAAGGGAGCUUGACUGCGACACCGACGG
rnacentral:rRNA from 1 species